rnacentral:lncRNA from 1 species
AACGUUCCAUCUGGCCGGGUGGGCAUAGAAGGGGGUGGAGGGAGCGCCUGGGUAUUGUCAGGUGAGGAAGGUCAGAGGGAGCCGUCCACCCACGUGGCCAGCGAAACGGAGCGUGGGAGGAGGCCCACGAACACCUGAGAUCAAAACCCACAGGGCACGUGAGAAGAUCCCAAUUCCAGGGCGCGAACGAAGUCCAGGAGCUUCAAAAUUGGCCCGCAUCAUGAAAACAUCCGGCAGACGAUUGAAGACUCACUCUUGAUGCAGACGCUGACCCGAGGAAGGAAAAGGGUGAGAAACAGCUAGGCAGACACAGCAGAGCGGGAAAGAGGCCGACGCCGACGGAAUGCAGGAGGCUUGGGGGUCGGGCCCAGGAGAUCUGAUCUGAGAGUAACAAGUUACAGGAGCGCGGAAAAUCACAGAUGGAGGAAGGGCAGUCAUUACAUAUCGGAACUCUCCCCUGAGUUGGGGGACGCCUGCAGAGUAGGCAUGGAAGGGCUCACGGAGUUCUAGGUUCAGCUGAUGAGAAAAGAUGCCCUCUGUGCUAUGUCAUGGUAACAGCCUCCGAACUCUGCAUACACACUGUAUUCUUCCCUUUGUGUGACACUCCAGAAACAACAAAUUGCAUCCAUAGUGAUGGAAAUCAGACCAGUCGUUGUCAGGGGCCACCGAGUUGACUGGGAUAGUGAUGGAAAUUUUAAUGAAUACAUAGAUGUAUAAACAUGUCAAAACAUGUACUUUUUAAAAUGGAUCCAUUUUAUUGUAUACAAAUUUUACUAAAUAAAAUGGAAUGGAAAAUUAUAAGUGCUGUACUUUCUGCAUUGAGGAAAAAGAAAAGUCAACCAUUUUUCAGUCAAAAGGAAUAUGUUACCUAAAAAAGCAAAACAAUCAGAAUGGUCUCAGGCUUCUCAUCUACAACACUGCAAGCUAAAAGCAGUGGAAGAGCAAAAGACUGCACCCCAGGAACCCCUGUUCUCAAUAAAGAGAUUGUCGAAGUGUUAGGAGCAGAAGGUAUUUGAAGAUACAUAAAACCUCAGUGAGUUUAUCACCUAAGUGCCUCAUCUAGGAAAGCACUGGAGAAACAGUUCUAAUGAAAUGGCAAACCCAGAAACGACAUAGCAGAGACCUCCGGAUGAAGGAGGAUGGAGAGGAAGGACGCAGUGGCAUGAGGAAGCUUCAUCUACUCGGAGGCAUCCCGAGGGGCUCAGCCGUUCGGAGCAGCGGAGGGGCACAAACGCUGCAGGGUGGCUGGGUGUGGUCUUCACAGGGGACGGCAGAAGCAUAAGAGAAACUGAGGCUGCGGUGUGAGUAGGAACCUGGCUGCAGUGAGUUAUGGGUUGAGAGAGACAGUGAGUGUGUGUUUGGUGCACAUAAGUAAUUGUCUUUUUUUUUUUUUUUUGUCUCACUCUGCCACCCAGGUUGGAGUGCAAUGGUGCAAUCUCGGUUCACUGCAACCUCCACCUCCCGGGUUCAAGCAAUUCUUCCUGUCUCAGCCUCCUGAGUAGCUGGGAUUACAGGUGCUCACCACCAUGCCCAGCUAAUUUUUUUUUUUUCAGUAGCGACAGGGUUUCAAAUCCUCUUAAGGGCACAUUGAUAAGUCUGGUUGAAAAUAGGAUUUGAUUCAUCCAAAGCAGGAAGAAGUGACUGCUAUGAAGGUGAAGGCACAGCCAUGAAAGAUUGAUCAUUCUGCAACUCAGGAGGGUCUGUCUAGGGCCCAGGAGCCCGUGUUUUCCUUAUUAACCAAAAAUAAUUAAGAAAGGCGAUGAUUCCGUCUGCACCCUGAGCUCUGCACGUUGAUUUGGUGAUGAACGGAGCACCAUUGCCAUGAGGACAAUUGCCAGUCCUUUCCCGACUGGAAGAUGGCAACAGCCCUGCCCCAUUUCCCCGCCGUAUUUAUACUGGACUUUAGAGAACUGUGAAAGCCCAUCUGGAAAACACUCAAGGCAGGUGAGUGCCCCUCACAAACCCUGUGGAGAACACCAUCCUUCCCUCCACCAUCAUCACCAGCAACAAACGUUUGCUCAACCCACGGUGUGCAAGGCAGAGGGCCCGGUGCUGCAGGGACAGAAAGAGGAAUGAGGGACAAAUGAACAUGAUGGAAGGGAAGGGAAGGAUGUCUGUGUUCUCCAGGGAUUUGCCAUCCACCUGGGUGCUGGUCUGAUGUCCCUGAGUCACUGAAGCAAUGCCAGCAGCAUUUUUAUGGGCAGAAAGAUCAAUGCCCGUAAAUAGCAGGGCAUCCUCCCUGUCAAAUAAAGGUGACCUAAGAUUCUACCAGUUCGGGCUGAGCUCUGAGUCACCUAUUUAUUCAAGUUAUAAUUACUGAGCUCCACUGCAGAGGCUGCUGGACACACCCCUAUUUCCUAGAAAUGGAACUCUUUCUAGCACCGUGCAUGGCUGACUGGAAUAAAACUAUACCUCCCAGACUCUCCUGUAUCUAUGGUUGGCCACAUGACUAACAUCCGCUUCAUGGCAUGUAACUGGAAGUGUUGUGUGCUGCUUCCCUAAAGGGAAGUGGCUGUGCCCCGAAUCAUCCCUCCUCCUUCCUGCUGUCUGAUAUAUGGAUAUAUAGGUUAGAUCUAAGCAGCCAUCUCAGACUACGAGAACACUGGGAGACAGUGGAGCAGAGAGUGGAAGGGGCCUGGAUCCCUGUCGGCUGUGUGGAGCCGAGCUGCCCACACCACCUGCACUGUCCACCUUUGGAGUUUCUGCUUGAGGGAACAAAAUCUUGUGUGGUUGGGUCAAUGGUAAUUCGGGGUCUCUGUUCUUUGCUGCUGAACCUAAUACUGGUGGAUAUAAGCGCCUACUGUGCAUCAGGACCCUGUGCUAAGGACUGGGACUUUGAGAAUGGAUAAGAGAAAGACAGCCCCUGCUCCCAGGGAGCUUAGAGUAGAGAGAGAGAAAGAGACAGAUCAAAGACAUCAUGUUACCUGAAAUAAGCCAGGCACCGACAGUUACAUUCUGCAUGAUCUCACCCGCAUGUGGAAUCCAAAAACGUUGAUCUCAUAGAAAUAGAGAGUGGAACAGUGGUUCCCAGAGGAUGGAUGGGCGGGGGUAGGAGCUUGGUCAAUGGGUGCAAAGUUCCAGUGAGACAGGAAGAACAGGCCUGGUGUGCUAUGGCACAGCGGGUUAAUAAGAAUGUAUUAUAUAUUUCAAGAGAGCUGGCAAAGAGGAUCUCAAUGUUAUCACAACACAGAAAUGAUAAAGGUCUGAGGGGUUGACAUGCUAACCACCCUGAUUUGAUUAUUAUACCACGUGUGCACGCAUGGAAACAUCACGGUGAACCCCAGAAACAUGUACAAUUGUUAUGUGUCAAUUCAAAACAAAAAUUUUGUUUAAAAAGUAAGCUAACAAACACAUUCACCCCAGCUGAUAAAUUCAAUAAACUAAGGGAAUGGCUUGCUUGCUAAGUUAGAGAAUAAUGGAGACAGACAGAAAAUAGCGGCUAGAAAGGGCUUCUAGAAGGAGGCGGGUUUUAGGGAAAGAUGGAAAGAGGAGUAAAGGGCAUUUUAAGAAAUUAUCUCCUAUUAUUAAUCUUGGCCA